AAGGAUAUAGCUCAGUGGUAGAGUGCGUAUUUAGCAUGCACAGGGUCCUGGGUUCAAUCCCCAGUACCCCUA
rnacentral:tRNA from 1 species